GGAUUAGGCAUGCAAGUCGCACGAGAAAGGUUUCUUCGGAAGCCGAGUACAGUGGCGAACGGGUGAGUAAUGCAUAGACAACUCGCCCUUGAGAUGGGGACAACGCCUCGAAAGGGGUGCUAAUACCCAAUGCCGCCUUGGGCCCGCGGGUCCAGGGUGAAAGGAGGCCUCUGAUUCAAGCUUCCGCUCAAGGAGAGGUUUAUGUCCUAUUAGCUAGUUGGCGGGGUAACGGCCCACCAAGGCUGCGAUGGGUAGCCGACCUGAGAGGGUGACCGGCCACAUUGGGACUGAGACACUGCCCAGACUCCUACGGGAGGCUGCAGUCGAGAAUCUUCCGCAAUGCGCGCAAGCGUGACGGAGCGACGCCGCGUGGGUGAUGAAGGCCUUCGGGUUGUAAAACCCUGUCAGCUACUACGAAACACGGGCGAUGAACAAUCGUCCCGUCUGACUUAAGUAGCAGAGGAAGCACCGGCUAACUACGUGCCAGCAGCCGCGGUAAUACGUAGGGUGCAAACGUUGUUCGGAAUCACUGGGCAUAAAGGGCGCGUAGGCGGUCUGAUAAGUCAGGUGUGAAAUCCCUCGGCCUAACCGAGGAACUGCAUUUGAUACUGUCGGGCUAGAGUACAGGAGGGGAGAGUGGAAUUCCUGGUGGAGCGGUGAAAUGCGUAGAUAUCAGGAGGAACGCCGGCGGCGAAAGCGACUCUCUGGCCUGUUACUGACGCUGAGGCGCGAAAGCUAGGGGAGCAAACGGGAUUAGAUACCCCGGUAGUCCUAGCCCUAAACGAUGGGCACUAAGUAGAGGGGUUUU
rnacentral:rRNA from 1 species